AGUACAGCAGUACGGUACUUACUGGAGGCCCUCAGUACAGCAAUACGGUACUUACUGGAGGCCCUCAGUACAGCAGUACGGUACUUACUGGAGGCCCUCAGUACAGCAGUACGGUACUUAAUGGAGGCCCUCAGUACAGCAGUACGGUACUUAAUGGAGGCCCUCAGUACAGCAGUACUUACUGGAGGCCCUCAGUACAGCAGUACUUACUGGAGGCCCUCAGUACAGCAGUACUUACUGGAGGCCCUCAGUACAGCAGUACUUACUGGAGGCCCUCAGUACAGCAGUACUUACUGGAGGCCCUCAGUACAGCAGUACUUACUGGAGGCCCUCAGUACAGCAGUACUUACUGGAGGCCCUCAGUACUUAGCAAGUUUGGUUGAAGCUGUGAACGUGACAAAAAAUACUAUUUUCUUAGUUAUUUUGUUGUUGAUCGAUACUUUUGAAAAACAAAAACAAAUAAGACCUUUACAAUGCCACUGCCUCAGUGCCAUUACCAUGCAGUAAUGACUUUAGCUUCAAUCUGCUCUAUCUAAAGAAUACGGAGCAAUAUUUACAAUGUUUACUUCCUCUUAACUAAGUGUCAUACUGUGUGAUACAGUGGCUGCAAUGCAUAACAUGCAAUGGUGAACAGGUUAUGGUGAGCUUACAAUGGUGAACAGGUUAUGGUGAGGUUACAGUAGUGAACAGGUUAUGGUGAGGUUACAGUAGUGAACAGGUUAUGGUGAGGUUACAGUAGUGAACAGGUUAUGGUGAGGUUACAGUAGUGAACAGGUUAUGGUGAGGUUACAGUAGUGAACAAGUUAUGGUGAGGUUACAGUAGUGAACAGGUUAUGGUGAGGUUACAGUAGUGAACAGGUUAUGGUGAGGUUACAGUAGUGAACAGGUUAUGGUGAGGUUACAGUAGUGAACAGGUUAUGGUGAGGUUACAGUAGUGAACAUCGUUGUCGUGAGAGAGUAGCUGAACCACGCCCUGGACCAGAGCUACAUUUACAGUAGCUCUGGUCCAGCUCUGCUCCAACGAUCACCGUCGUCGUGAGAGAGUAGCUGAACCACGCCCUGGACCAGAGCUACAUUUACAGUAGCUCUGGUCCAGCUCUGUGCUCCAACGAUCGUUGUCGUGAGAGAGUAGCUGAACCACGCCCUGGACCAGAGCUACAUUUACAUAGUUACAGAGGGAAGUUACUGAAUUUACAAAGCGUAAUAAUAUUAAUGUUUACCAUCCAUUCAGAAUCCCGAUGGAUUCUGCUACCUGUUCUGUUCCUUGUUACUGUUACGACACACCUCCUCCUUCGCCUUUCUGUAACUGAUGUCCUGCAAAGUGCACAUAACAUGUCAUGCAAUUCAGCGUUGGUCUGACUGACACAGAAGUGGUUGAAUAAAGAGCAUGCUUGUUUCUCUAGCUACCAUCUGGCAUGUUACCUUUUCAUCACAGCUUAUUAUACUGUAAAGUUAUAGCCACAAAACGACUCCAAACGUGUACACACAAAAACAAAACAUUUCAAGUUGAUUUAAAGUGUUUUGUUCUACUUAUCAGAAUUUUUUUUUUUUUUUUUUUUUUUGCAAUUUUAUGUCUCAAGAAACAUCUAGUGACUUAAUUCAAUGGUUUUUCCUCGUGCUGUUUAACAUUGUACAAGAAAUGUUUUAAAAUAAUAGUCAAAAUGGAAAACCAAACGGAACCUGUUAGGAAUCAUUGGCAGCGUUUAACUGUUCUGCAUUAAGUAGAGGCUGUUCGAGCUUCAAAUAAAACUGCGCUUUGCGCUCCAAUAAAAUAUAUUUGUUACUUUAUUUGUAAACUUAAUAAAUAAAAGUAAUUUAAAUUAA